rnacentral:rRNA from 1 species
CCUACGGGGUGCAGCAGUGAGGAAUAUUGGUCAAUGGGCGGAAGCCUGAACCAGCCAAGUCGCGUGAGGGAAUAAGGCCCUACGGGUCGUAAACCUCUUUUGCCGGGGAGCAAGGGCGGGGACGUGUCCCGGCCCGGAGAGUACCCGGAGAAAAGGCAUGGGCGAACGCCGUGCCUGCAGCCGCGGUAAUACGGAGGAUGCGGGCGUUAUCCGGAUUUAUUGGGGUUAAAGGGUGCGUAGGCGGGCUGUUAAGUCAGCGGUCAAAAUUCGGGGCUCAACCCCGUCCGGCCGUUGAAACUGGGGGCCUUGAGUGGGCGAGAAGAAGGCGGAAUGCGUGGUGUAGCGGUGAAAUGCAUAGAUAUCACGCAGAACCCCGAUUGCGAAGGCAGCCUUCCGGCGCCCGACUGACGCUGAGGCACGAAAGUGCGGGGAUCGAACAGGAUUAGAGACCCUUGUAGUC